GCCGAGGUAGCUCAGUUGGUAGAGCAGGGGACUGAAAAUCCCCGUGUCGGCAGUUCGAUUCUGCCCCUCGGCACCA
rnacentral:tRNA from 1 species